AUACGUAGGGGGCGAGCGUUGUCCGGAAUUAUUGGGCGUAAAGGGUGCGUAGGCGGCCCUUCAAGUUGGAUGUGAAAUCCCCGUGCUUAACAUGGGAAUUGCAUUCAAAACUGGAGGGCUUGAGUGUGGAAGAGGUAAGUGGAAUUCCCAGUGUAGCGGUGAAAUGCGUAGAGAUUGGGAGGAACACCAGUGGCGAAGGCGACUUACUGGGCCACAACUGACGCUGAGGCGCGAAGGCGUGGGGAGC
rnacentral:rRNA from 1 species